rnacentral:lncRNA from 1 species
AGGAGUCCGUGAGGGACGUUUGUCAAAAGAUGAGGCGUCAACAAGCAAGAGGUAUGGUAGUAAUUUCGGUAAGAAGAAGGACAUUGACACGAAUGCAGUAAUCAAUGGGAGGCAGAUGAGGCCUCAGAUCAGAAGGAAUCCAUCAUCCCGUCAAAAUCAUCAUCAUCAUCAAGUAUCUUUCGUUAUCCCGGUAUUUUCUAAUCAACAAGCAACACCAAUUCAACAACACCAACGUCAACAACAACAACCGCAACAAC